rnacentral:lncRNA from 10 species
GAUCGAUUGAGCAAGCAGCGGAUUUGAAGACCUGACUGAUUGAAUGUAAGAAGAAUUACCUUCAUAGGACAAUUUCUGAAUUAAACACUUAAAAUAAGUGGAUGCUUCUUUCUUCUCUUCCUGUUUCCUGCUGACAUGAAUGGAGGCACAGUGGCUGAAACUGGAACCACCUCACUGAAUCCAGACAUGAAUUCUACAGAUUGAUGAGAAUAAGGCUGUUCUACCAUUCCUGAUUUUUGAAGAUAUCUUAUUUUGACAGACUCAAAGAUCUAGAUUGCAAAAACCUGGAACCAUUUGUCAUGUAAUGCAAUCUCCAGUUCCCCUGCACCAUCAGGAAGUGGAUGGAAAAAUGGGGCAAACUUCCCAAUACCCAGAGGGUAAUAAGUAAAAGGCCAGAAUGAGCAGAGAUGAAAACCAUAUUAUAAGCAGAUCUUGCUGUAUUUCUUGGGGAGCAAAUCUCAAUUCCUGCCUAAGAGAAUCAAAUAAAGUCUAUGAAUAGGUAACUCCAGGAUUACUAAUUAUUUCUUUGUCCAACUAGAUGUUUUUAUUCUUUUUAAUCCUCCUAAUUGAUCAUGGUAUUUUGACUGUGAGUGUGGGAAAGUACAGACAACAUGAUUUCCCAAAUAACAAGAAAGUGGUUCCAGAA